CCCUUAGAUGUUCUGGGCCGCACGCGCGCUACACUGAUGCAUUCAACGAGUCUAAAACCUGCUCUGAUAGGGGUGGGUAAUCUUUUGAAUGUGCAUCGUGAUUGGGAUAGAUGAUUGCAAUUUUUCAUCUUCAACGAGGAAUGCCUAGUAAACGCAAGUCAUCAGCUUGCAUUGAUUACGUCCCUGCCCUUUGUACACACCGCCCGUCGCUCCUACCGAUUGAAUGAUCCGAUGAAUAUCAUGGAUUGAGGAUGCAAGCAGGUUCGCCUGUCUUCAUCUUCGAGAAGUGAAGUAAAUCUUAUCAUUUAGAGGGAGGAGAAGUCGUAACA
rnacentral:rRNA from 1 species